UACGUAGGGGGGCAAGCGUUGUCCGGAAUUAUUGGGCGUAAAGAGCGUGUAGGCGGUCCGGUAAGUCAGCUGUGAAAGUCAAGGGCUCAACCCUUGAAUGCCGGUUGAUACUGUCGGGCUAGAGUCCGGAAGAGGCGAGUGGAAUUCCCGGUGUAGCGGUGAAAUGCGCAGAUAUCGGGAGGAACACCAAUGGCGAAGGCAGCUCGCUGGGACGGUACUGACGCUGAGACGCGAAAGCUAGGGGAGCAAACAGGG
rnacentral:rRNA from 1 species